UCCCAUUUGUAAUGCCUAUAAAAUUAUGCAGAGUGGACCACUGCAAUAUACCUAAUAAACCAUCUGGCAUUGCUUUUGUUUUUCCCAGAAACUGCCUAGCACACAUUAUACCAAAAGGAGUGCAUCUGCCUACACACAGAGCACACAGACCGGCUUGCUCACUGAAGUUUUCCCUACUGAAGAGUUCAAGGUCAUUGUCUCCUACUUGGAUUAAAUCCUUCCCAUCCUUCCGUCCCAAAGUCCCAGCAUCCUUGCAACAUGUUGUAUAAAAUUAAGAGGUUAAAAAGAAGAAAGGAUAUUUGCAGAACAUUUGGAAAUACAUCUAAAUAUUGGGAUACUAUACUGGGUAGACCAAAUAACUUUGUGAUUAUUUCUCUGUCCUAUUUAAAACAAUAAAAAGAAUUCAAUAGUUACCUGUCCCUCUAGA
ensembl:lncRNA